rnacentral:SRP_RNA from 1 species
GCCGGGCAUGGUGGCGCAUGCCUGUAAUCCCAGCUACUCAGGAGGCUGAGGCAGGAGAAUUGUUUGAAUCCAGAAGGCGGAGGUUGCAGUGAGCCAAGAUUGCACCACUGCACUCAGGCCUGGGUGACAGAGCAAGACUCUGUCUCAA